rnacentral:rRNA from 1 species
UACGAAGGGGGCUAGCGUUGCUCGGAAUCACUGGGCGUAAAGCGCACGUAGGCGGAUUGUUAAGUCAGGGGUGAAAUCCUGGAGCUCAACUCCAGAACUGCCUUUGAUACUGAGGAUCUCGAGUUCGGGAGAGGUGAGUGGAACUGCGAGUGUAGAGGUGAAAUUCGUAGAUAUUCGCAAGAACACCAGUGGCGAAGGCGGCUCACUGGCCCGAUACUGACGCUGAGGUGCGAAAGCGUGGGGAGCAAACAGG